rnacentral:rRNA from 1 species
CCUACGGGAGGCAGCAGUGAGGAAUAUUGGUCAAUGGGCGCAAUCCUGAACCAGCCAAGCCGCGUGCAGGAAGACGGCCCUAUGGGUUGUAAACCUCUUUUGUCGGAGGACAAAACCCGAUACGUGUCCCGGCCUGCAUGUAUCCUACGAAAAAGGAUCGGCUAACUCCGUGCCAGCAGCCGCGGUAAUACGGAGGAUUCGAGCGUUAUCCGGAUUUAUUGGGUUUGAAGGGUGCGUAGGCGGUCCGUUUAGUUCGCGGUUAAAUUCCGGGGCUUAAACCCGGCAGAGCCGUUGAUACUGGCGGACUAGAGUUGGGGAGAGGUAGGCGGAAUGUGUGGUGUAGCGGUGAAAUGCAUAGAGAUCGCGCAGAACACCGAUUGCGAAGGCAGCGUACCGGAGUAAGACUGACGUUGAGGCACGAAAGCGUGGGGAGCGAACAGGAUUAGAUACCCUGGUAGUC